UACGAAGGGUGCAAGCGUUACUCAGAAUUACUGGGCGUAAAGCGUGCGUAGGUGGUUCGUUAAGUCUGAUGUGAAAGCCCUGGGCUCAACCUGGGAAUUGCAUUGGAUACUGGCGGGCUAGAGUGCGGUAGAGGAUGGCGGAAUUCCCGGUGUAGCAGUGAAAUGCGUAGAGAUCGGGAGGAACAUCUGUGGCGAAGGCGGCCAUCUGGACCAGCACUGACACUGAGGUGCGAAAGCGUGGGGAGCAAACAGG
rnacentral:rRNA from 1 species